UCUUUCUGGAUAUGUGAUGUGUAUAUUAACUUGCAUUAUUAUUUUUUUAAACCAAUGUAGGAUAUACUGUUUCUGAUGUUCCCGCUUGCUUUUGGUCAUCUGGGUCCUGGCUACCUGGCGCAGGGCCCCAGGGUGGCAGCAGCUGUGCACCUGCAGGCUAUGAGAAGUGCAGCCCCUCAGGCCCUCCCCAGACCCUGAGGCAGAGUCUACAUUCUCACAGCCUCCCUGGAUGAUUCGCUUGCACACUGGAGUCGGAAAGUCUGGAUCCCUCACUCUUUUCAGUGGCUUUAUGGAUGUGAUUUAUGUAACCAAUCCGGGCCUAUUUAAACUCCUGACAUGCAGUCAGCACUCAGAUGUUUGACGGGCAAGUGAGCAAACGAACAAAUGAAUGAAUAAGUGCCUUAGAACACUCAAGGCAGAUACACGUGGGCAGAAAUGAACUUCCAGAGGCCGCCACAGCCUCAGUCGUUUCCUGUUGCAAUAUUGUCUAUGGAAUGGCUGAGCCAAGAACUGAAAGGUUCCGGUUCCUCUCCCCGGAGUUUGGACAGCACCAAGCUGUAGCAGUAGGGUCGUAUGCAACACAGAGAAGGCCAUUUCUGUGGGAGAUGCUUCCAGUGGAACUUUGGAGUCUGGGCUGAGCUUGUCGACAAGGGUCUUGAGCCUGUUGUUUAUUAGAAUUUGGCUGCAGGGUUAGCUCUUCCUCUGACAUGGUUCAUCCCAUUCAUCAGAUGAGUAAGGAGUUGUCCCCGGACUAUAGACCUGCGCUGACAUCUCUUGCACAGUAAAGAAAAGGAAAAAUUCAUAGUUGUAUGUUGUGGUU
rnacentral:lncRNA from 10 species